AAAUGCGAUAAGUAAUGUGAAUUGCAGAAUUCAGCGAAUCAUCGAAUCUUUGAACGCACAUUGCGCCCGCCAGUAUUCUGGCGGGCAUGCCUGUCCGAGCGUCAUUUCAACCAUCAAGCCCCCGGGCUUGUGUUGGGGACCUGCGGCUGCCCGCAGGCCCUGAAAACCAGUGGCGGGCUCGCUGUCACACCGAGCGUAGUAGCAAUCACCUCGCUCAGGGCGUGCUGCGGGUUCCGGCCGUUAAACAGCCUUACAAAACCCAAGGUUGACCUCGGAUCAGGUAGGAAGACCCGCUGAACUUAAGC
rnacentral:misc_RNA from 1 species